CUGAUUAAUCAUAGGUUGUUUAACUAGAAUGGAAUCUUUAUUAAAUAUAUAUAAUGUAUGUGUAUAGUUACACACACACACUUGCUUUAGACUAGGCUUAGUAUCGAUUCACCUUGCAUGAAUAUAUAACUGAUGGUUAUGCAUGCUAAUUGGUCAGUUGUCUUCAAGGCAUGACUUAGGGUUGGUUCUUAGGAAUUGGGACUUCAAUCCUGACUAGAAGUGAAUGAGAGUUUUAGGUUUCAGUUCUCUGGCAUAAAUUUAAGCCCUUGGAUAGAUUCGCUGAUGGCUGCUAAAUCUUGGUCAUAUCUUGCACUGUAUCACACUUUGUUAACUUUUCACAAGGAUUUGAACAUCAAAUAUUGGGACUAAAGUACAAGUUUUUAGAAUCUGAACAUAAAGAUUUUACCAAUUAAUUG